rnacentral:rRNA from 1 species
CAGUAGCCGCGGGAAUACGAGGGGGGCUAGCGUUGCUCGGAAUGACUGGGCGUAAAGGGCGCGUAGGCGGUUUAUACAGUCAGAUGUGAAAUUCCUGGGCUCAACCUGGGGACUGCAUUUGAUACGUAUGGACUUGAGUGGAGAAGAGGGUUGUGGAAUUCCGAGUGUAGAGGUGAAAUUCGUAGAUAUUCGGAAGAACACCAGUGGCGAAGGCGGCUUACUGGCUCAUUCUAGACGCUGAGGUGCGAAAGCGUGGGGAGCAAACAGGAUUAGAUACCCGUGUAGUCCCUGUCUCUUAUAC